GAUGAACGCUGGCGGCGUGCCUAAUACAUGCAAGUCGAGCGAACGGACGAGAAGCUUGCUUCUCUGAUGUUAGCGGCGGACGGGUGAGUAACACGUGGAUAACCUACCUAUAAGACUGGGAUAACUUCGGGAAACCGGAGCUAAUACCGGAUAAUAUUUUGAACCGCAUGGUUCAAAAGUGAAAGACGGUCUUGCUGUCACUUAUAGAUGGAUCCGCGCUGCAUUAGCUAGUUGGUAAGGUAACGGCUUACCAAGGCAACGAUGCAUAGCCGACCUGAGAGGGUGAUCGGCCACACUGGAACUGAGACACGGUCCAGACUCCUACGGGAGGCAGCAGCAGGGAAUCUUCCGCAAUGGGCGAAUGCCUGACGGUGCAACGCCGCGUGAGUGAUGAAGGUCUUCGGAUCGUAAAACUCUGUUAUUAGGGAAGAACAUAUGUGUAAGUAACUGUGCACAUCUUGACGGUACCUAAUCAGAAAGCCACGGCUAACUACGUG
rnacentral:rRNA from 1 species